CUUAACACAUGCAAGUCGAGGGGCAGCAUUUUAGUUUGCUUGCAAACUGAAGAUGGCGACCGGCGCACGGGUGAGUAACACGUAUCCAACCUGCCGAUAACUCCGGGAUAGCCUUUCGAAAGAAAGAUUAAUACCGGAUAGCAUACGAAUAUCGCAUGAUAUUUUUAUUAAAGAAUUUCGGUUAUCGAUGGGGAUGCGUUCCAUUAGUUUGUUGGCGGGGUAACGGCCCACCAAGACUACGAUGGAUAGGGGUUCUGAGAGGAAGGUCCCCCACAUUGGAACUGAGACACGGUCCAAACUCCUACGGGAGGCAGCAGUGAGGAAUAUUGGUCAAUGGGCGCGAGCCUGAACCAGCCAAGUAGCGUGAAGGAUGAAGGCUCUAUGGGUCGUAAACUUCUUUUAUAUGGGAAUAAAGUUUUCCACGUGUGGAAUUUUGUAUGUACCAUAUGAAUAAGGAUCGGCUAACUCCGUGCCAGCAGCCGCGGUAAUACGGAGGAUCCGAGCGUUAUCCGGAUUUAUUGGGUUUAAAGGGAGCGUAGGUGGAUUGUUAAGUCAGUUGUGAAAGUUUGCGGCUCAACCGUAAAAUUGCAGUUGAAACUGGCAGUCUUGAGUACAGUAGAGGUGGGCGGAAUUCGUGGUGUAGCGGUGAAAUGCUUAGAUAUCACGAAGAACUCCGAUUGCGAAGGCAGCUCACUAGACUGUCACUGACACUGAUGCUCGAAAGUGUGGGUAUCAAACAGGAUUAGAUACCCUGGUAGUCCACACAGUAAACGAUGAAUACUCGCUGUUUGCGAUAUACAGUAAGCGGCCAAGCGAAAGCAUUAAGUAUUCCACCUGGGGAGUACGCCGGCAACGGUGAAACUCAAAGGAAUUGACGGGGGCCCGCACAAGCGGAGGAACAUGUGGUUUAAUUCGAUGAUACGCGAGGAACCUUACCCGGGCUUAAAUUGCAACAGAAUAUAUUGGAAACAGUAUAGCCGUAAGGCUGUUGUGAAGGUGCUGCAUGGUUGUCGUCAGCUCGUGCCGUGAGGUGUCGGCUUAAGUGCCAUAACGAGCGCAACCCUUAUCUUUAGUUACUAACAGGUCAUGCUGAGGACUCUAGAGAGACUGCCGUCGUAAGAUGUGAGGAAGGUGGGGAUGACGUCAAAUCAGCACGGCCCUUACGUCCGGGGCUACACACGUGUUACAAUGGGGGGUACAGAAGGCGGCUACCUGGUGACAGGAUGCUAAUCCCAAAAACCUCUCUCAGUUCGGAUCGAAGUCUGCAACCCGACUUCGUGAAGCUGGAUUCGCUAGUAAUCGCGCAUCAGCCAUGGCGCGGUGAAUACGUUCCCGGGCCUUGUACACACCGCCCGUCAAGCCAUGAAAGCCGGGGGUACCUGAAGUACGUAACCGCAAGGAGCGUCCUAGGGUAAAACUGGUAAUUGGGGCA
rnacentral:rRNA from 1 species